rnacentral:tmRNA from 3 species
GCCGGCUUUCGGGCCGGCUAUGGCAAUAAAUGAGCGGUGUAAUAAACCUAUUGGACCCGGGGGCGGUACCCGGCGCCUCCACCA